ACAAUGAGAGAGUAGUUGCAGUCAAAAUGGCUUCUACAUUUGCCUACCGACGACAGGAGGUGGUCAACCAAGAACCCGCCAUAAAGGACUUCAAGAACAGAUGGCCUGCAUUGUUCUGUCCAAAAGAGAUUAAUGCAGAGUUCCAGAGGCUCAUGGCAGUCCCUCUUGAAGAAAAAUUCAUGGCCCAGUUAGACCUGCACUUAAGUCAGCUCAUCAGAGUCGUCCGUUCUAAAGGAGGAGCAACCCGGCAAAAGACUGCUCACAUUAUUGAAACUUUGGACCAGACAGAGGACAUUCAUCUUC